rnacentral:rRNA from 1 species
AUUGAACGCUGGCGGCAGGCUUAACACAUGCAAGUCGAGCGGGGUGAUGGUGCUUGCACUAUCACUUAGCGGCGGACGGGUGAGUAAUGCUUAGGAAUCUGCCUAUUAGUGGGGGACAACAUCUCGAAAGGGAUGCUAAUACCGCAAACGUCCUACGGGAGAAAGCAGGGGAUCACUUGUGACCUUGCGCUAAUAGAUGAGCCUAAGUCGGAUUAGCUAGUUGGUGGGGUAAAGGCCUACCAAGGCGACGAUCUGUAGCGGGUCUGAGAGGAUGAUCCGCCACACUGGGACUGAGACACGGCCCAGACUCCUACGGGAGGCAGCAGUGGGGAAUAUUGGACAAUGGGGGGAACCCUGAUCCAGCCAUGCCGCGUGUGUGAAGAAGGCCUUAUGGUUGUAAAGCACUUUAAGCGAGGAGGAGGCUCUUUUGGUUAAUACCCAAGAUGAGUGGACGUUUCUCGCAGAAUAAGCACCGGCUAACUCUGUGCCAGCCGCCGCAGUAA